ACUGCCUGAGUUACAGGUUGGGAAGAGAGUGAAAGGUGGAUUUGUGUUUUAGAGACUUGGCUAAAGUAUAUUGUUAGAUUUCUAGUUACUGAGUCUAAUUCCUGACUCUACUUUAGUUACUGCUUUGGCAAGUUGCUGUUUCUGAAUCUCCUGAGCUCUGUCUAUCUCCCAGCUUCAGCUACACUGCUCUGCCCAGUUUUUUUUCUUAUGAGCAUGUAUGUCUCCAGAAGGGACUGGUAGCUGCCUGCGUGAGGUGACAGUUUUCCUUGGUGGAGAACAGCACCUUGGAUUUUGGACUUCUUUCCACUCAAGGGCUCCGUGAAGAUGUCUCCUAGAACUGCAAUCCUUCCAGUGGGAGUCAGCAAUCCUCCUAGUGGAAGUACAUGGCCUACAGAAAGAAACAGCAAAUAACAUCAUUGAUAUUUUUAAAUAUAAUCAUCCAUCACAGGACCUCCUAUUUCAAUUGGUGAAAGAAGCCGUGUUAGAGGAUGAAUAUAUGUCCCCCCCACAGCCAACCACAGAUGAGUUUGUGGAUGUAUUGUCACUGCCAGUAUUGGUACUUCCAUCCCAGAUGUG